rnacentral:lncRNA from 1 species
CGAAACAACACGCGUAGCUUAAUCGCAUAAUCACGACUAAGGCGAUUUUAAUCACGUUAAUGGUCAGAUUUAGCCAGAAAAAGAUUAUGCAAGAGAUUUCAAUCACCCAGGUCCAUUGUAAUUGCACCAUCAUUAGAUUAAGGGAUUGAAAUCAGGAUUUAGACUACCAUGCUUUAAAGCUAAAAUUACAAAAUAUUUCUCAGAUAUUCUCUGUUAUUGUUUUUUCAUACGUCUUUCAAUCUCACCAAAAAUCUCGCUCAAGCAGCUUUUUUACUUUUCUUUUGAAAAAUAGGUUUUAAAAAUUAUUUUUGAAAAAAAUUCUUAAAACUCCAAAAAUUAAGGGAAUCAAACAAGUCCAAAGCUACCUGCAUGCAAAAUUGCACUUGCCAUUCAAGCAAUCCACACUUUAAUUGAGGAGAUCUGAACACUUUCCUCAGCAAGGGUAGAGGUAAUCAUCUGCCAUAUAGACUCACAACCAUAGCAUAAAUUAUUACCGAAAAGAAAAGAUACCUUCAAUUUGGAAUGAGAUCUUUGCCCUAGAUUCUUGCUGUAGCAGAUCUUUGAGCAGUGAUCACUGCAGAAGAAAAUAAUCUACUAUGAAAUGCCUGCACAGUUGGAAAAUGUUAGAUAGAAAUAAAUUUGAGCUGAAAAUCUGCACUUAGUGCAAGAGCUCAUGCCACAUGCGAACGAGAACGAGAAAAUUAUACCAGCGGAAAUCGAGAAAAUGUUCUUCCCUUUCAGGUCUUUGAAAAACAAAUUAGAUAUUCCACGUCCUCAAGAGCAGGAUAUCGGGCAACGAAUUUAGACUGCAUGCAGUCUUCGGCAGCUAGGUGUUUACCAGUAGUAGUGAACGAGUGAUAUGAAUUUGGGGAUUCCCGAAUUGUACAAGGCUAGGGUAGGGUUACAUUGUAUUUAUAUUGACAAGUGCUUCUGCUUUCAUUUUAAAUAUUAUUUCUUGUAAAAUAAUUGCAAUUAAAAGGAUUUGUAUUGGUAAAAUCAGCAAAAAAGCUUGUAUCAAGUCAAAAUAACAGACGGGGAGACUUGGCCCUCGUUUGUGCUAAGCCACACUUGCCAAAAUGUGUUUCACUUAUUCAUUGUCUAAUCCAUCAUUAAUUGUAAGCUUCCUUGUGUAGAUAUUCUAUUAGAUGUGUUUUUAUAACCCAAUCUUAGAUAAGAAUAAGAAAAGAAACUUGUGCAAUUUUUCAUAACUGUUUAUGUCAGGCAUAAGACAGUAUUUUGUUCUGCUCCAUUUCUCUGUCUGCCAGGUCACAAGGCUGACAGAAGUUGUGAAAUCCAGUUUCUUAUGUUCUAUAAUAUGGGAUGUAAUGGAUAAAAGCAGGUAUUAAGUAUUUCAAUGCAGAGUUUUAGCACUUCAAUAGAUAAAAUGCUACCCGAGCAACAUUAACUAUUUGAUUAGAAUGUGGCCCUUCUUGUAAACUUUCCUGCAUGUUUGCCAAAAACAAAAUAAUUGAUAGAUGGAGAAUAGGGAAAUUCAUUUCAUAAACUUACAUACUAAAAUUUGACUAAAGUGUGGUCCUUCUUUCAAACUCUCCAGCAUGUUAACCGCAUGCAGUCUUCGGCAGCUAGGUGUUUACCAGUAGUAGUGAACGAGUGAUAUGAAUUUGGGGAUUCCCGAAUUGUACAAGGCUAGGGUAGGGUUACAUUGUAUUUAUAUUGACAAGUGCUUCUGCUUUCAUUUUAAAUAUUAUUUCUUGUAAAAUAAUUGCAAUUAAAAGGAUUUGUAUUGGUAAAAUCCACAAAAGCAAAUAAUAUUAUUAUAUCGUGAAACAGCAAAAAAGCUUGUAUCAAGUCAAAAUAACAGACGGGGAGACUUGGCCCUCGUUUGUGCUAAGCCACACUUGCCAAAAUGUGUUUCACUUAUUCAUUGUCUAAUCCAUCAUUAAUUGUAAGCUUCCUUGUGUAGAUAUUCUAUUAGAUGUGU